GCCGCCAUCGUCUAGCGGUUUUAGGACAUCGCCCUCUCAAGGCGAAGAUCGCGGGUUCAAAUCCCGCUGGCGGUA
rnacentral:tRNA from 1 species